CUUGUUAUUGGGCCAUUUGUU
rnacentral:siRNA from 1 species